CAGCCGCCACGGUAAUACGGAGGGUGCAAGCGUUAAUCGGAAUUACUGGGCGUAAAGCGCACGCAGGCGGUCUGUCAAGUCAGAUGUGAAAUCCCCGGGCUUAACCUGGGAACUGCAUUUGAAACUGGCAGGCUGGAGUCUUGUAGAGGGGGGUAGAAUUCCAGGUGUAGCGGUGAAAUGCGUAGAGAUCUGGAGGAAUACCGGUGGCGAAGGCGGCCCCCUGGACAAAGACUGACGCUCAGGUGCGAAAGCGUGGGGAGCAAACAGGAUUAGAUACCCCAGUAGUCCCUGUCUCUUAUAC
rnacentral:rRNA from 1 species